rnacentral:lncRNA from 1 species
GCUGGCCAAAGGUGGGAGAAAACUAAGGGAUCUUUAAUGUCAUAUUUAGUAAACUCCUCCACUAACCUCAAUUAUAAAUACCUAGUCCCAUCUCACAUUUCAAUCAUCCCUCAUUCAUCUUUUAUUUAACAUUUAUCUUCCAUUCUCUUAUUCUCUCAUUCCCACGCAUAACAUCUCAUAUUUCCUUUCUUUCUUAGCCAGCAAACCUUGAUAAGAUCAUCUCUUGGCCGACCACCUUGAAAAGCCAUUAACAAAAGAGCAACACGAGGACAGGAGGAAACUUCUUCAAUUGGAGUUUACAAGGCUAUUGAUUUAAACAGAGUUUAUUCUUCCUUUACUUGUCACUUUGAUUUUAAUCAUGUUUGCAAUGUGUUUUGUUUUCUUGUCAUCAAUAAUGGUAGCUUAAAUCUAUUUAGCUAGGAUGAUUAUAUCAAUUCAAUUAAGUUUGUUCAAAUCAUGUUUAUAGUGUUUGUGUCUCACUCAUUCAUGUUUUUCAAUUAAACUCAAACAUGUAUUUCAUUCAUACGUGAUUGGAAGCAUUGGAAUUAGUUGAGUGAUCCUAACCAGAUGAUGGCUAAUGGACACAAUAGUUGAAAAGUGCAUGCUUAGUUUAGAUCCUAACCUGACUAAAUUAAAAGUUCAUAAUAACUUUAACGAGCUCUAUUAUCUUGCAUAGUUUUUAGGUUCAUGUGCCCAUCCCUGUUACUUCGCUUGAAUUCUAAGAAACUUAGUUUAUAUGAUCAGUAAAAUGCAUGUUUUACUAAGUAAAAUAUUUCAAAAGAACUUAAUUUGGUUUCAAACUCAUGAAAGAUCGAGGUGCCAUGCAAUAUUUUCCGAACAAUGUUAAACAUGAGAAAAAUGAAUUAAGUUGAAUGAUGUAAUUAUUCUAGCCUAUUCAUGUUAUUAAUUGUUGAAGUUUGUAUUGUUGCUGCUAAAUUCAUCUCAUACAUUUUAGUUAAUUGUCAUACUUAGUUUAGAAUCGCAUUAGGGAUCAUCGUGCAUCUAGAUAAUUUAACUUAGUUUAAUCAUCCAUCACUCGAAAUAUUGUGUUCUUAUCACCAAUUUGUAAAACUUUAAUUUUGCAAUUAAUUGAUUAACAUACACAAUCCCUGUAGAAACGAUAACUCUUUUACUUACUUAUUACUUGAUAACGAUUGUGUACACUUGCACAAACCUACGCGUUACAAGCUUUACGCUUAGUGUGCGAUUUGACCCACAUUUGCAUGUACUUAUAAAGUUUUUACCAAAUCAACUUUCUUGUUAUAUAUCAUAUCAGAGUCAUAAUAUGCAACAUAUCAAAACAUAUCGUAUAACUUAUCAGAACAUAACACAUAACAUAACAGAGCAUGUCCUAUCCCCAUCCACUACACACCAUCUCCGACCCACCAAUCACACCAAUUAGGACUACACAAGUCCAUCCAUCCAAUAACACCAAUAUGUGGCAGUAUGGCACUCAUAAAUAUGCAGCUGAGCUACCAAAACAGAAAUUUGUGGUCUAGCCGCCAUAAUUGCAGUAGAACUAUCCUAUACACUUCCUCCAACAUAUCAAACCCACCCUAAAGCAAAAAUACUAGGGAUAGGAUUAGAGACAAAAUUUAAUAAAAUUUCAAAAGGUAAGAUUUGAACUUAUGACAUCUCACACAUAUAUAUAGAACACAUAACCACUAAAUCAAGAUAAUUCCAUAUUAAAGAAAAUUCAAGGCAUUACAUACAAUCAAUCUAAAUAAGCAACACAUUUACAGUAAACAAAAUUUUUCGAUUUUACAUCUCUUUUUGGAGACGAAGAAGAAGAUAAAGACAAGGAGCUCCUUUUGUUGCUUCUCCACGUCUGGAGACGUGUUGAUGGCUUUGGGGUUUUAUUUUAAAUUAAAAUUUCACUUUUUAUCUUUUAUUUCUUUAAAACAUUAUUUUCUAAAAUUUAAAAAUUCAUAUAGUACUUGUUCAGACUCUAGAAUUUUAUAUUAAAAAUUCAAAAACCAAAAAUUGUUAAACUCGAUAACUUAAAGAUUAAAGCUUCUUAGGGUAUUAAACAAUAAGAUCUUCAAAUGGGAAAAUUUGUAAUAGCUAAAGGGAUGUGAAAAUCAGUAAUUGAAAUUUUAUAAUGAUGUUUACACACCAUCAUGAGAUACGAAAGUAUAGGGGAUGCGAAAAUGAGUAUUCACUAAAGUAGAAGAAAUUAAAUAUUAAAUAAAUUUUUAUGUACCUUUUAGUUGGAAGCAUGGGCGAUGAAGAUGAAACUGAACAUUAAUGAAAUCAUGUGAAAUUUGAAAGUGAGUAAUAGAAAUUUUAGUUGAUUUUUAUUUACUUAUUUAUUUAUGGCUUCAAUCAAGCAUGUAAAAUCUUUUUUAUUUUUCUAGGUUUUGUAAAAUAGGGAAGAAAAUCUUGUAAAAAGGUGAUGGUUUAUGGGUUUCGACUUGAAAGUUUGAUAAAAAAAUUUUAAAAUUUUUUUGUAAUUUUUUUAGAUUUUUUACAUAUAUAUUUGGAAUUUUUAGAAAAAAUUUAUUUAUAAUUUUUAUUUAUAAAAUAUUUUAACUUAAUUUUCAAUAAUUUAAAUAAUUUAUAUUUAUUUUUAAUAUUUUAAAUUUUUUAGAAUUAUUGUUAAGAAAAAUAAAAAAAAUCAAAAUGAUAUUCUAGCUACAGUUUAGGGACCAAUUUAGUAAUUAGUCAAUUAAAAUAAUGUUCCACAUCAACAUUUAACAGAUAAAAUUUACGAAGGGGCUAAUUUGCACGUUUUGAAAUGUAUAAGGACUAAUUUGUCUAUUUUUCAAAAGGUGGGCCGAAAAGCAAUCCACCCUUAACUAUAGGAGUUUCCUUGGUACUUUUACCAUAAUCAACCUCAAUUUUUAACAUGAAAAGCUGAAGUAUUAUAUAUUUUAGGCAUAAUGACUUAUUUAGUCCUCCAACUUAAAAAAGAGUCAUUUUAGUCAUUCGUUUGAUUUUUCAUCUCUUUUAGCUCUUAAACUUAUAUUGUUUGUCAAAUCAUCUCCAAAUAGAUGGAAAUGUUAGCGUCUAUUCAAUUUGCUAACGUGUAGCGUCUAUUCAAUUUGCUAACGUGGCACCCAUGUGGCAAUUUACGUAUAUGUCAUGUUAGCAAUUAAUUAAUUUUUAAAAAAUAAAAAAAUUAUAAUUUUUAUACAUUUUAAUAAUUUUAAUUUUUAAUAGUUUUUAUAAUUGUUUUUGAAUGUUUAAAAUUUUAAAAAUAAUUUAAUUAUUGAUGUGGCAUUCACGUGUAUGCUACAUUAACAAAGUUAACAAAUACUAACUUUGUUACUCAUUUUAAGUGAUUUGAUAAAUAAUGCAAAUAUAAGGAAAGAUGAAAAAUUAAAAUGAUUUUAUUUGAAGGAAUUAUACUUAUAUUCUAGAUAUACCUUUCUUUUCUCUAUAUCCACAUUGAUAUGAAAAUGAUUUUUCGUAUCAAUGUUUAAUUAUUUUUCACUACAAAUUCUUGAAAUUACCAUUGGAUAAUUUAUUUAUCCAAUUAAAUAAAUAAAUACUAAAAAAUCAUAUUACAAGCGCAUGUAUGAAAAUUAUGGAUUUAAAAUAUAAAUAUAUAAUUGAUGGAAGUAAUAAAAUAUGCAUAAUAAAAUUAAAAUGUAAAUAUUAUAUUAAAAUAAAAUUUUUAAUUUAGUGGCAAUGUUAAUAUUUUAUUAAUGUAAAUAACACAUAUACAAAUUUCACCCAUGCAAGUGUUUAAUUAUUUUUUCAAAGAAAAAUAGAAAAGUUAAUAACUUAUUUUAGUUAUGAAAUAAUAUAAAUGAUUAUUUAUUUGUAACUUUACAAAGAAAUUACAAACUGUGAUUCUUACUAAAUUAACAAAACCAUAGUAAAUAAAAGGAAAUGAUAUAAAGAAGCAAUGGGUGGAUAACGAAUCCUUUUGUAGGAAGGCAGUCACACUCUGUCUGAGUCACAAGGGUUAUAAAGUUUCUACAUAGUGCUUGUGGUUGUAAAGAGGUGGAUUACUUUUCGCCAUUGUUUAACACCUAUAAAUACAAAAAAGAUUAAAACCUAAUUUCUAGCUAUCAACUUUCUCAGCACAAUAUUACCCAUCCUAAAUUAUUUUGGAUUUUAACCAUAAAAGUGUAGGUAAUGAAGGACUAUGCAAUGGUAAUAACAUGAGGUAUGUGGUACUUGCGAUUUUCUUCGAAAAAGGAAAAAGGAAAAGGAGUGAUUUGUAAGGCAUUUAGACAAUAACUAGAAGCGUAAUUUACCUUCUUAAUCACCCAACUUGUUUCAAUUUUCAUAUAAAUCAUAAACCUUGUUUCUAUUUUACAUAUUUCAUCUUUCGUCAAUAAUUUCAGUCUCAACAUUUACAUAUUUACACAAAUAUAGUGAGAUAAAUUUGUUUAAAAAGGACCAAAUUGAUAAAAUAUUUAAAUUUUGUGGGUAAAAUUUAUUAUUAUACCAAUCAAAAUUAUAUACAAUUGAUGGAAAUAAUUAAUAUCAUGAUUUAUUGUUCUUAAUUGCUCACUUUCGAAAUUAAUAAAGAUAAAAUUACGUUAACUUUUUUGAGAAAAACUAAUUUACUCAAUUUUUAAAAUUGAGGGACUAGAAAAUUCUUUCUACCUUAUUUCAAAUGCUAACAUUUUAAAAAUACAAAAAAAAUUUCAUCCAAAUACAUUUAAAAAGAAGAUUAAAUGUUAUUUAAAAAGUUAUAAUCAUGUGCGCGUCUUCAAAAAUCUUAAAAUUAAAAUUGUUCACAUUUCUCAAUUUCUUAUGAAUUUCAUGAGCAAAUUAUAGAAAAAGAUUUAAAAUUUUUAAAAUUUUCCAUAUUCGUAUUUGAAGUGUACUUAAGAAGUCCCUAUAUUAUAGACACUUAAUCAAAUUAGUCCCUUUACUAUUAAAUAUAUAAGGUCAAUUUGUAAUAGAUUUAGCAUUUACUGUUUUGAAAAAUACCAUUUAUUUUUUAAUAAAGUUAAUAUUUUUAAAGUUCUUAUAGCUCUAUAAAUUAAAUUUUUUAUUUGGAAUUGAUCUAUAAUUGAAAAAUAGAGGGACUAAUUUGAUCCAUUUAAUAAUAGAGGGACUAAUUUUAUUCUUUUCAAUAGUAUAAGGACUAAAUUAAUCUAUUUAAUAAUAGAAAGACUAAUUUGAUCUAGUCCCUAUAAUACAGGGACCUCCCAAAUAGUUUAAGCAUUUUAAAUCCUCAUCCAUACUUCAAUAUAUAAAAUCUGGAAAAUGGAAAUUGUUACAUGAUUGAUGAUAUCGAAGAAAUGAAAUAAAUAAUGACAUUCAUGUGACAACUUUCUUCCCUAUUUUAAUAAUGUUUUGAUUGACAGAUGAAUUUAAAACAACUUUUUUAAAUAAAAAAAAAGUUAAAUGAUAAAUUUGAAACACUUUUUGCAUUUUAGGUCCAGAGUGCAAUUUACUCCAAAUUCAAUAGAAGCUUGACGAUUUACCUACAUGUCUUUUAAUAUCAGUUAGAACAUAAAAAUAAUUAACUCUGACACAUGUGAAAUGGGAAAAGAAAAACUGAACUCAAAUUAGUAGUUAAAGUUGGUAUAAUUCCUGAAACCAGAUUAAAAGGGCAGAAAAUUGCAACAUACCAUAAAAUUUCCCCCUUUUUCUUUAAUUUACUAUUAAGAACAACAGUUUUCUUAAUCAUGAUAACAAUAUAGUCCAUAACUUUAAUAAUCUCAUAACAGUUAAUAAUUUUCUUUUUUGCCCCAAUAACUUGAUGAAUCUAGUCAACCCUCAUUUUUCUGGUUUGCUUUGGUAAUUUCUUCCUAGGAAUACAAUUCCCUUUUACUGCUUUGUCCUUUUUCUCCUCUUCCACUGGUUCACUCAGCCCAGCCUUGCAUCUCCUGAUGAAUCAAAAUCAAAACUAAAAGUGAAGUAGGAAAAAAACAUUACAACUAUGUUAUUUGCAUGUUCAGUUUUAACAGGAAAGUGACAGGAUUGAAGAGGAACCGAAUGAAUCACCUUUCUUCAUUAUAUGAAUUGGAUCUUUUGAGCAUUGGCUGAUCACCCACAACUCGGUUCUCAGAAUUCAUUGACUCCACAAUGCUGCCACUGAAAUACUCUUUCUCUUGGGCCUGUAAAUUACCAAACCUUGGGUUCUCAGACAUGCAGCUUAUCAUCUGAUCAUCUUCAGCAGCCUUUAUUGCAGUCUUACAAAGAACCCCUCUAUGCAAAUUUUCACUCUUCUUCACCACAGUGUUUGGUACUACCGGUUGCUUUACAACAGUAGGCAUGUUUUUGGCUUUGUUAACUGCUAAGUUGCCACAUGCAAUAAGUUGAAGCAGAACUGAGGAGUUACGACCUGAUGUUGACACAUUGGUCACUGGGUCACCAUCUUCAAAUCGCUUGGAAGUAUUGUUUUUGCUUUGGUUUUGGUUUUGGUUUUCAGAGAGGAUGGAAGAGUCUUGUUUAGGUGUAUCAGAAAUGGGCUUUUGGGGUCCUUGGAUAUUGGUUUCUUGGUAUUCAAGUUCAUCAGUGGAAACUCCUCUUGAGCAGCGAGAGUGAGGAGUUGUUGAGCUUGUGUAACAUGUUUUCUCCUCGUCUAAUUCAUACUCUUCUUCUUCCUCUUCAUCACCAUCAUCGAAUUCUUGUUCUUCAUAUGCUGUCCUAUCUGGUUCUUGGGGUCCCCUGUGUCGAGUCAAAGCAAAAGUUUGGGAUUUUUGCUUGGGGUGAAGGUUUGGUUCCUGAAAAUGUGGCCCCUUAUUGCUGAUUUGCAUUUUCUGUAAUACCUCUGCAACAAAACAAACUAUCUUUUCAGUCUUAAAGUUUGGGGCUAAAAGUGUAGUUUUUGUUAAACAUUCAAGUUAAUGAAAUAGCUGACCAGAGCAACCAUCAACCAAUUCCGAGCCUUUGAGUACAUAUUCCGCUCCAUCAGAUGGAGGAAUAAUAUCAUUGUCUGCUAAGUCAUUCCAUACAUAACCAUUCUUGUAACUCCUAACAAUCAAACAUUAAAAUUAGUUUAUAAACAAACAUCAAAAGGAAAAAGUAAAAAAAAAAUAAAAACAGGGAAAAAUGUACCUUUUGCAAGACCAAGAGUACAAAGAGGGCAUUGCUUUGCCUCUAAGAGCAGUGAGUCUUUCAGUUACAUCUGUGAAAAAAACAAGAUAAACAACAAGCAAGAAAGGGUGACAUAUAAUUCUCAUUAUUUACCUCUCAAACGAAGUGGUUGAUUGACCAAAUGGGUGACUUCCAUGUAAUGAGGAUGCUCAAGCUGGCCAUUUCUGGUUAGGUAGUAAACAACUUGAACUUUUCUGAUUGGUUUCACUGCCUUGGGUUGUUGCAGAAUACAAACUUUGGCCCUACCUGGGCUGCUUUCUCUUGGUCUUCUGUUUCUCGCAUUCAUGUUUGUUUACUUGCACUCCUUCCUUCGUCUCUGAUCUUGACUUGGUAGGUUUUUCAGGUUUGACAAAACCCCAAAGUCAUCCUUUAUAUUCACAUUUACUGCACCCCCAACUGGGAGAUUGUGUAAAGGUAUAAAGGUCAUUAAAAGGUGCAAAAAACAGCAUUAACUUUGGAUUCUCUUGGAUUUUAUGGCUAUUAAAAUUGGGGAGAGAGAGGAAAUGUGAGUGGUGGUGGGUCACGGUCAUUACAGUAGAAUUUACUUUGACUUUUUGCAAUGCUCUGAUCCCGAUCUUUGGCAAAAAAGAGAUAAAUGAAAAUUGGCCUGUAACAAACCAUUCCAGAGAAGCCCUCCAGCAAAGCUUUCUGCUAUAGCUCAUUAUUCUAGGAUGUUAACUGCCUUUAUUACCAAGCACCAGUGUCACAUGAUGUUGGGAAAUCCGACAAUAACUGGUUAAAAAUAAGGAACCAAUUUUUGUUAAUAAGACUAUUGUUUUGUCUAAAGGGUCGUUACUGUUCUCUAGAUUUCUAAACCAUGUUUUGGUAAUUUUUCCGAUUGAUGAUUCAUGCAUGAGAAACUUUCACUUUUGCCCCCCUUAAAAGCCCAUGAUUUAUGCUUUGAUUUAGUUUGAGUAAGGGGUUGUUGGCCUCUACCUUUGCACUAAGUAUCGCAAUAAUUGCUAUUCAUGUGAAUUAAGGAUUCAUAUAAUCAUUUGUUUCAAUAUCUGUGUUUCUCAAUCCUUGAACUUCAAAUUGAAGCAUGUUUUGUACAACCUAACACUCGGUCAAACCCUAAAGACAAUCCUAGAACAACCUGACAGGUCGAAGAACGCCAUUUUUUUAAAACAUAUAAUUCUUGGUAUUAUAUACAUAACCUUUGUUUUCACGGAGAUUACAGAUUGUUUCUGUUGAUGGGAAAAUACGAUUCGCAAGUUUAUGGAAGAAAUGUUAGUAUUGUGCGAAAUAUUAAUUAUGCAUAUUGUGUUUGCAUGUUAAGUUUUGGUUGAUGGUUCGGUCUCUCACAGACCCAACAUGCAUAAUUAAUAUUUUGCACAAUAUCGAUACUUCUCCUAUAAGCUUGUAAACCAUAUUUCCACCAAUCGAGUCGUUUUUUAAACUUCGUGAAUCUCUUUAAACUCUCUUCGGAGUAUGAGAGACAAAACCCCUCAUGAAGAUCAUACCUUCUAUUGAGAGAGUGAUACACUCCAUAGAAGACAUUCACCCUCAACAACUUUCAUUCUAAUUUAGUUGUAUAUAUUAAAAAAAAUCAAAAAAUUAAAUCGCUUUCAUGUUGAAUGAAUAUAUAUUUUAAUGGAAUUAAAAUUUUCUAGAAGUGUAAUGCUUUUUACUAUUUUAUAUAAUAUUUAUUAGUAUUUGAUGAAUAUAAUUAUUUCUAUAAAUAAUAAGUAAAUGUAAAAUGGUAUCAUAUUGAUAAUCAACUUAUAAAAAUUAAACUAAAAUAGAAAAUUCAUGUAUGCAUGAACUCUCAAACUUAACAAAUAAAAAUGUUUAGAUCUAAGGCGGUUGCGAAGAAGUUAAAUUGAUUUAAAAUUUGCUUUUGAUUUUCUUGUCGGUUAAUGUUGGCAAAUUUCAUCACCCCAUACGUAAAGAGUUAGCCGUUACUCUAAUAAUUGGUUCAUCCAUUUUUUUUAACGAAGGACCUUACUGACCGCCAGUACAUUUUGGCAGCUAAGCAAAUUGCCAAGUCUCAGAAACAAAGUGAAUCUUUAACUGUUAUACAUUAUUAGUUUAGUAGAAGAUUGACAACUAAAAAACAGUAGUAAAAACAAAUCAGUUGAAUUGGAGAGAUUGGACUCCAAAUGAAGACAAACAACGAUGUUAUAUACAUAAAUAUUAGACUGUACGUGAAAUAUAUGUUUAUUAUCUGUGCAGGAAAAAGAAAUAGAAAAAAAGGAAGUCACUGGUGUGAUAUACGAAGCAAAAUUAGACCAAACACCUGCAAAGCUAAUAUGAUGUUUCACAUUACUUAUCUACUACCAGUUGCUUUUCCACACACCAUUGUUUUCACAUGGGCAGCUGCCACUAGUACUGAAAAUAUCAAAUCCCAUUGAUGGAUUGACCAAGUUGAAUUGUCGUGGUUUAGUGACGAGAAUUUUUUUUGUUGAAAUUAAGUUUUGGUAGAAACAAGAUCUUAAGUUUAUCCUUGAAACAACAUUUUUCCGCUCUCAUUUAAACAAAAUAUCUAAUUCAGUUUGAUAUAUUUUAUAAAACUGCAAGCUUGGAGAACCAAGACUUAAUUGCUUUGAUUUAUUAUAAAGAGAUCAACUAAUGGUAUAGGGACCAAACAGGUAAAUAUGAACUCGAAAUUAACUCAGAGUUUUCGAAAUCCAAUAUGGUUGAAUCCAAGUUCAAUCACAUCAAUCCCAUAGAUUCACAUAUCUAAUUUAGGGGAUAUCAAUUUAUGUAUAGCCAUUAGCCACAAAAAAUAUUGAACUCAAAAAAUAAUGCUCAUUCGGUCAUUCGUUACAGUAAACAGGAUCAUAAUUAGGGUCCGUAGAUUGGCCUAAAAAAGGCAGUCUUAGGGGCUGGCAUCAAGGUUUUCAUGGUUCAUGGAGUGUACCGUUGAGUCUUGAGAUUCGACCUCAUCGACGUGACCCAAAGCUGUUUUCAUAUACAUUUUAGCUCCCUGUGGUAAUGUUUUCUGAAAAGCUCAUUUAACACUUUUACCCUUUUUGCUUGCAUUUUUUGUUGUUAGGGAAAAAACAAAUGUCAUAUCCAAUAAUCCAAUGGAACCUGGGUUUCGAGUUUCUUUGAAAAUUUAUCAUCAAUUAGUAACAUCUUACUACUUUUACUACCAUCAAUUUCUUGCUUCAAUCUCUUUUUAUUUUUAUUUUUCCCAAUGAGCAAGUUUCAUGACAUCUAUGAAGUCAUCAGCCAAUGCUGUAAAGCAUGCACGUAUACGGUAUCUGGGAUAUUAAAACAGUUAAUUAGAUUCUGGGUAAAAUCUUAUAUUUGAGUAUAGUUACUGUUUUCUCACUCUUAUCCAUAGAUUCAUUCAAACCUGAUAUCAAUAGAUUGAUCCGUUUGAAUGAAACUAAAUAUAUUAUGUCUUUAGUUUAAAAUUGGAUAAACUACACUUCUGUUUGCGUAAGUUUAAAAUUUAUUAAGCCUUUAGUUUAAAAUUUCGACCCCAAAUAUCUCGAUUCGCUGCUGUGCGUUAUCAAAUUAGACUAGUUUUUCGAUAUGUGUUAUCCUCAUCGACCACUCAUUUUUUACCGUUGGGAUCAACGGGCAUACCACAGAAGCACCUCCAACUCAGUUUUACCAAUUUUGACCCCCACUUCCCUCUCUUUUUUUUUUCUUUUUAUGAUUUUCUCGGGUCUUUACUGAUAAUUUGCUCCACUACUUUCUCUAUGUGCAGGUUUCAGUUUGGCGCUUCUCCUCUCUUUUCUUUUAGCUUUUCUCUUUUCGAAGAUUGUUUCCUUGUGGUAGUUUAUUAUGGUUUCUAAAUUUUGGUAGGGAUUGUGGGUUCCAGAGUGGUGAAGGUUGUGGGGUUGUUUUCAGUUGAGGGAAUGGGGUUGUUGGGUAUGUGGGUUUAUCGGUUUAGGGACUGUUUUUGGUGAUGAAAUGGUAAUGAUGGUGAGUGCUAGGUAGGGGAUCCGUGAUGGAGGCAAGGUGCUUAUGGCAGUGAGGAUUAUUGUGUGGUGAUGACGGAUUAGUCGCCGGUGGUUUAAGGGUUUAGAGGCAGUGAUGGAGAGGAUCGAGUGAUGAAAAAGGAUAAAAUAAAAAGGGAAAAGGAAGAACAUGGUGUUAUAUAUCCGUGGGUGUACAUACAACUCUCGUAACCCUUCAAAUAUUUUCUUGUAACUCCUAAAAAAAUUUGUAGGGUCAAUAAUUUUAUUUAUCAUGUAGUAAUUUAUGAUAAUUGAGGCUUUAUAAGUAAAAGAUGUAUAAAUUAUAGUACCCCAAAUUUUAUAGUUUUAUAUAGGGGUGAGCGUUCGGUCGAAUCGAAUAAUAAAAUUUCAAAUGAAUUGAGUUGAUAAAUCCUAUUUUAUCAUCCUCACUCGAUUUGAAAUUUUCUCGAAUCAAGUUGAGGGAGAUGAAAUUCGAAUUGAAUCGAAUUGAAUAUAUUUGUUCGAGUUAAAUUAAAAAAAAUGACUUUCGGUCUUUAUAACCACUGUCACCCUCCGUAAUCAAAUUUGUCCACCAUAAUCAAAUUUGUUAGUUAACUUUCAUCUCCUCAUAAUUUAUUUACUAAUAUUUUAUAUACGAGUUAACUUAUUUACUUGCUUGGUUGCUUCAAUUAUCUUCUGAUUUUUGUUGCUAUAUAUUUUAAAAUUAAAAAAUAUAUUAAAUAUAAAAAAUUUGAGUUUUUAAUAAAAAUUAUCUUAAAGAUAAAAUGUGAAAUUGAUACAAAUAUAAAAUUUUAACACGAUCAUUUUAUGGUAUCAUUAAUAAUUCAAAAGGUUGAUAUUUACAGUUUUUAUUUUUGCUUUAAUCUACUGUUAUUUUUUUAUUUGCAUAUGGAAAUAAAACCAACAAGGAAAGGGGAAUAAAAACUGACCCGUAUUCGAGUCUUUGACGCUAUCGACGGCCGAGGAAGUCGCCUCCCAGGAUAGGCAACCGGAAACCGAAAGGUUUCUUGAACUUUUGGGAUCCUUUUGUUAAUAUUUUGGGGGUUUUGAGUUCAGAUUCGGGUUUAGGGGUUUAAAAGGGUUGAAUCGGAAGUUUUUUACCUUUGCCGGCCACCGUAUACGGCGACGCCGUCACCGGCGGCCGGCACGGUGGCCAAUGGCCGAUUCUCUAGCCGGUUUUUGGGGGAGAAGAGGGAAGUUGAGAGAAUGUUCUAAAGUUUUUUUUGUGAAAGAAGAAAAAAAUGAAAUUUUUGAAAAAAUUUUGGAUUAUAUAAGGGCAUGAAACGACACCAUUUUGGCCUAGCCCCAGAACGCCCAAAACGACGCCGUUUAGGGCUAACCGACUCUAAACCGACCCGACCCGACCCGAUGAAGGUCCGCGUGUUUUCAUACCUGAGGGGUUAUUUUCCUGCUUGAUCCAUUCGCUUUUGGAUUGUUAUGCAAUCUCGUCCUUUUCUUUUUUUAAUUUGGCCUCUUAAGUUUCUACGUGUUCCAUCUUAGUUCGUGCUGAAACGAUGUGCAUCAGGGCUGGGGAUAUUACCCAAUCAGUCCCUCGUCCUUCAAGCACGCCCUUUUUCAGUCCCGACCACCCUUUUUUAUUUAUUUACAGAUUUAAACCCCGAAUUUCAUUUUAAAGUUUAAUUUAAUCCUUUUGUUAUUUUGUUUAUUUUCUUAAUAAAUUUGAUAUUCUUACUAUUAUUAUUAAUUAUUUUUAUAAUUAUUUGCUUAUUUAUAUUUUAAAUUCGAAAUACUUGUUAUAUAUAUACAUACAUGUGUUUUUAUAAUAUACAUAUAUACGUGCAUAUUUUUAUAAUUUAUCUGUAUAUACAUAUAUGUACUUAUAUAUUUUUAUAUUUUAUAAUUUUUAUACAUAUCGAUAUAUAUGUCUAUAUGUGUAUUUCAUUUUCAUAAAUAUAUAUAUACUUACAUAUUCUUCAUACUUUUAAAAAAUAUAUUUUAUAUAUAUUCUUUAUAUUUUAUGAUUCAUAUAUAUACCUGCAUAUAUACUUUUUUAUAUUUUAUGAUUGUUAUAUACGUUUAUACGCACAUACAUGCUUACAUAUAUUUUUACGUAUAAUAGUUUUAAAAUAUGUGUACAUAUAUAUAUAUAUUUCAUAUUCCCAUAAUUUUAUACACAUAUAUAUAUCUUUUAUAUUUUUAUAAUUUUUAUAAUUUUUAUAAUUUUUAUAAUUUUAUUCAUUUUCUUUGUUUAUUUAUUUAUUUACAUGUAUGUUAUUAUUAUUAUUAUUCUUUUAUACUUUAGUUUUUAUUUGUUUAUUACUUGUUAUUGUGCAUACGUGAUUGGUUAUAUUUAUAUAUAUUUGUCUUCUUUUUUAUUCAUCUUUUUUGUUUUUAUUCGUAUUAUUUUUCUUGCAUUAUCAUCAUUGUUAUUCCAUUACAUCCAUUUUUACCCAAAUUCAUAAAAAAGGAAAAUUUUGAAAAUAAAGGUAAUAUUCGGUAUUUGGGAUCUUCGGGAAAAUUAAGCCCUAACGUAUUGGGUUCCAAUUUUCUUCGUUGAAUCUAAAUAAUCGAGAAUACCCUUUAAUAAAAAAACCAUGAAUAAAAGCUCAUUAUCGGGAAUUCAAUACGUUGUGUCCUAACGCAUUGGAUAUGACACGUUGUUUUCUCGAGAUGAAGAUUUGUCUAAAAAAUAAUAAAGGAAAUAUUCAAUGUUUAGAAUUUUGAGAAAUUGUGCCCUAACGUAUUGGGCUGCGAUUUCAUUAUCUGACUUAAACAAUUGAAUAUCCUUCUAAAUUUUAUUGCACGAGUUUUUUGGACAGGCUCAUUUUUGAAGAGGUGAAAUAUCAUGCCCUAACGCAUUGGGUAUGACAUUUUCUCUCUCCGAAAUGAGAGGAUCUUAACGGGUAAUUUGAUUUAUACAAGUUUUUAAUACAAGGAUCGUAUUUUUUUAAAACUCUUCAAAAUUUUCAAUCUUUGACACUAAGACAUUAAUUAAUCAACUAGGUACCAAUUUUGGGCGUUACGAGGAUGCUAAUUCUUCCUCGUACAUAAUCGAGUCCCGAACCCAUUUUUCUGAAUUUCAUGGAUCAAAAUCGUUGUUUUAAUAAAAUCAAAUCGUUUAUUAAAAACAACCACUUUUCGAGGUGAUCAGAUCACACCUCAUCAAAAAGGAUUUGUGGCGACUCCCAUUUUCGUUUUCGUUUUCCAAAUCCAAGUCAACCCCGUUUUAUCAGAAAAAUGGUGUCAACAGCUUGGCGACUCUGCUGGGGAAGCAAAAUAAGAGAGUCGAGCCACGAGUUGAUUAUUUUUUGUCUUUUUGUCAAAACUGAAAACUUGAUUUAAAUAUACGAUCCUUUCGUUGCAUUUCAUCCGUCUUUAUUAUGAUAUUCAUCAUUAUGGUUUAUAAUUGCUGUGUUAGUUUAAGUUUUGGUAUCUUUCUGCACAUUGCAUUGCAUGACUGUUGGUCACACCCUUUUAAGUGGGAGUGAGAAGCUACUCCUUCGUGAGGUUUUCACCUCCGUGCAGGAUAGUAGAUCGCUUCCAGGAUACAUCUGUACCUAUGUUUUCGUGAGAUUUUCAUCUCCGUGCAGCCAUAGGGAAAUGUAUUCCCCUGAACUGAACUCGGUCCAUAUGAGCCUAUAAUAGGUGAAGAUCAAGGAAUCUGCUGAUUCAGGUACCAUUGCCCUAGAAGCCGAACCACAUAUAGUAAACCUUAGGAACUUGCGCUAGGUAGAACUACGCCGAACUCUAGUGGUUACCCAAUUAGGUGCUUUAUUAUUUCUUGUUUGUAUUGAAUCUUAUUAUUAUACAUGAUACUGAAUUGUUGUGUUUUGUUUUGGCUGCAUGGCCUUUCAUUAUAAAAUGUGUUGACUCACAUUUGGUUACUGGAUAGAAAGCUUAUCAUGGAAAACGAAUUUCUUGAUAAAAUGGAAAAUAAUGCGGUUGUCCGAAUAUGGUCAGAAAAACGUGACUUGAGAAUGGUGAUAGCUUGUCGGAAGGGUACACAUCAGAAUUAUGGGACUUUACUUAUAUCAGCGUAACACAGAACAAUAUCCAAGAGUUGAAAGAAGUAUGGGCCCAGUGGGAUGAUGAAACCAAACAGUUAUUUACUAUAAUUAUGGCAAUUUGCCCUAUCUGUUGGAUAUUAAGGUGGACGAGCAUUUGUUUCGAGCUCUGGCCUGGUUUUAGAAUUCCGCUUAUAGCUGCUUCACUUUUGGGGAGGUAGACUUGGUGCCUACUAUAGAGGAAUAUAAGGCUCUACUACGUUGCCCAAGGAUUCAAGUAGAUAAAGUCUAUUCUAAAGCCGUCAACAUCCCGAAUUUUGUAAAAAAUUUAAUGAAUAUCUUAGGAAUGAGUGAGCAAUGGGUCUCAGCGCGGGUCAAACAAAAGGGAGAUAGCAAAUGUAUCCCUUGGAAGAGUCUGCGUGACUUGAUUUUAGUACAUCCUAAUACUAAGAAGAAGGUUGAUGUUUUUGCUUUGAGCAUUUAUGGGCUGAUAUUUUUCCUAGAGCGCUAGGGUACGUUGAUAAAGCACUUACAGAUUUGUUUGAUCGACUGGACAAGAGAGUCACACCUGUCCCAGCAAUUUUGGCCGAGACAUUUAGAUCUUUCAACGCAUGUCGAAACAUGGGUGAGGGAAGUUUCAUUGGAUGUGCGCAGCUUUUACUAGUGUGGUUCCACAGUCACUUCUGGAAAGUGGAUAAAGUUUCCUAUCGAGUAUUUUCUGAGAACUAUUCCCCAUUAAAAGAACUAGCAGCGACAUCGAGACCUGACAACAUUACCGUGGAAAAGUGGAUGGAAAUUCUUCAAAAUCUCAAGGACGAAGAUGUUGAAUGGAAAGCUCCUUGAAUUGUGCCCGAUGAGAUCUUUUAUCGAUGUGGGGACUUGGACUGGGUCCCUUUACUUAGGAUUUGGGGAGCUGUUGGCUAUGCGCCGUUGUUGGUACUAAAACAGUAUAGGUCGAGACAGUUCGUACCUACAACCCAAGGACUAGCCCAGAGUGAGUUUUCAUAUAAAGAUGACGGUUACAAGAAGAAGAUUCGAGAAGUGACCAAUGCUUGGAAGCAAAUUCACCGAACGAAGAGUCUUGCCGUUGGACCGAUGGUGACCUCCGAAUAUAAUGAGUGGUGGAGUAAGAGGGUCAAAGACAAUAUCCCCAGCCUAAGAGAAGAAGAUGUUCGACCGAUAGAAGAGUAUUUGCAAGUGGUCCCAUCUGAGAUAGAAAUCAUAAAUCAGGAUUUAGAAAAGAGGAAUUUGGAGUUGGAAAAGAAAAUAGAGCAAUUAGAGGAAGAAAAAAUGCAACUAGGACUAGAUGUCGACGUCCAAAAGUUAGAGACUGACAAAUGGAGAAAAGGGAAGAACAAGGCUGAAGAAGAUUUGGACAGCUUGAAGAUGAAUUACAAGAAGUUGCGUAGGUUAAUAAGAACGGCCGGUUUAGGUAAAGCGUCGGAGCAAUGGUGACAGGAAAUCCAAGAGGAAAAUACUAAAGCUGAUCAAUGGGAAAAGAAGUUCCAAGAUGCUUGAGCUUGAGAAGUUACUUUGGAAAAGGGUUUGUUAGAAUGCCAAAACAAGGAGAUGGGAUUGAAAGCUUGAGUAAUCGAGUUAGAAAAGUCGCUUCACUAGUACUGUAGUUGUAAUUCCGUGAUCGAGUUAAAGGCAAGCUUAGGCAAAAUCGAAGAAUUGAAGGGACGGGUAGGAGAGCUCAAGGACGCAUUGCAAAAUAGUGAACUCCAAAUAGAGCUUAUUGAGAGGGGUAAUGAACAGUGGAAAGAGCAGUUCUAUCGGUUUCAAGAUCAGAUUAGAGAAAGAGACUAUAUUAUGGGUGAGGCGGUGGCUCAAGUAUGCAAAGUAGCCGAUCAGCUACAAACCCUAGCAGUUCAGGCUAAUGUAUUAAGUUUGAAGUAUGAGUCAGAAUCGGACCGAGGCCGAGAAUUAGCUUGGCUUCUUAGGAAGGUCAAGGCUUUGAGUAUAAGGGCAAAGCCGUAGAUGUAAUCUAUUUUAUGUAAAGAAAUUUGUUUUCUAGUAAAGUUUUUCUGAUGAAAUUGAAUCAGAGUCAAUACCUCUUUUUUGCAUUUAUUUCAUUCAUCUGCAUUACAUUUCAUUAUAUGCAUCAAGUAUAAUAAAAAGAUCCUAAUAAACUAAAAUUAUGACAAUUAUCCUAGAACAUACUUACGGCACGAGAAAGAAAACAAAAGCAAUGGAUCAAAGGUUAGAAAGAUUGGAACAAAUGCAAAAAGAAAUGCAAGAUAAGAUGCAAGAACAAUUGGAUAAAAUCCAACAAGAUGUGCUGGAAUCCCAAAGGACUAUGAUGGGCCAACUGACACAAAUAUUGGCUAGAGGGGAUGAUAAAGGAAAGAGCCCUGUAAUCGAUUCUGGAGUUGAUCAUGAGGACCCUGUUUAUCCUCUAGGUUUCACCCCAACGAACACUCAGGCACAACCGGAUAUGUGUCCACAAUGAGUGCCUGUUCACAUUAGACCUCAAUACCAAGUCGGCACCUCAGCACCGAUGAACUUUUAGACAGGCUUGGGUUCUAACCCGGGAGAUAAUCCAACCAACCCUGUUGUCCCUGAUCUGUAUGAUGUAGCGGAAGUAGAGAAGGCAAGGGUGGAUUUGCCGAAGCAACUUGAAGAUAGGUGUAGGUGGCUCGAGGAAAAUUUCAAAGCAAUGGAAAGUACUGAUUACCAUUGCAAAAUCGAUGCCAAAGACCUGAGUUUGGUCCCUGACUUAGUUCUCCCGCCUAAGUUUAAAAUACCAAAAUUCGAAAUCUAUAAUAGGACUAGUUGUCCUGAAGCCCAUAUCACCAUGUUCUGUCAGAGGAUGACGGGAUAUAUUGACAAUGAUCAAUUGUUAAUUCACUAUUUUCAGGACAGUUUGAUCGGAGCUGCAGCCAAAUGGUAUAACCAGCUGAGUCGCGCCCAAAUUAGCUCAUGGAAGAUUUGACACAAGCUUUCAUGAGAAAAUAUAGCAACGUAGUGGAAUGACGCCCGAUAGGAUCACGCUACAAAACAUGGAGAAGAAACAAAAUGAAAGCUUCAGGUAGUAUGCCUAGAGAUGGAGAAAAGUGGCAACUCAAGUCCAGCCGCCUCUUCUGGAAAAAGAAACCAUAAUGCUUUUCAUCAAAGCUUUAAAGGGCCCGCUCAUCACCCAUAUGUUGGGAAGCGCCACUAAGAGCUUCUUAGAUAUAGUAAUGACCGUUGAAAUGAUUGAAAAUGGGGUAAGAAGUGGUAAAAUAGAUGCGGGGUAAAACUUUAAAAGACUGGCCUCGAGGAAGAAAGAAUGUGAGAUAAAUAAUGUAAGUCCAUACAAUAAGGGAUAUUCAAAGCCAAUCACCGUUGGCUCACCAAGGACGGUAGCUACCAGUCAUCAAGGUCCUCCGAGGCAGGAGUCCAAUUUGAGGUCAAAAAGACCCCAGUUUACACCUAUCCUGAUAACUUAUAAAGAGCUGUAUCAAAAUCUAUUUGAUGCACAUGUGGUAGCCCCUUGUUAUUUGAAACCCAUGCAGCCCCCAUUCCUUAAGUGGUAUGACGCAAAUGCUUAAUGUGAAUAUCAUGCAGGGAUAACAGGGAAUUCGAUUGAGAAUUGUACUGCGUUCAAGAAAGUGCUCGAAAAACUCAUCAAAAUGGGUAUUGUAAAGCUUGAUGACCCAUCAGGACCAAACGUAGCAGGAAAUCCGUUGCCUGAUCAUGCAAAUAAAGGGGUAAAUGCGAUAGCCGAAGGUGGAACUAAGAGAAUUAAGGCAGACGUGAUGGAGGUAAGAACCCCAAUGAAAUGUGUUUGGGAACAGAUGGUAUGUAGGGGUUUAAUCACACGAGAUUUAGAUGAAAGGCCUAAAGGGGCAGCAACAUACUAUGAGUUCCAUGCCAAGGAGGGUCAUAAUAUCCAGGAAUGUACAGAGUUCAGGACCAUGGUGCAAAAUCUGAUGGAUAAUAAAGAGAUAAAGUUUCAUGAAGAGAUCAAGGGAUUUGAAGAAAAAGAGGUCUACGCCUCAGAGGAGGGACCCACAAAAAGGUUCCAAAAGGUCAAUCACCCAGUGGUGAUUAUUUCACGGCCAAAGAGCAGUGAAGUAGGGAUACAAAUACCACCGAUAGUCAUAAUCCAAAAACAUGUACCCUUUUUCUAUAAGGAUAACAAAAGGGUUCCUUGGAAUUAUGACUGUAACGUGACAAUUCCAGGAGAGGGGAACCCGAUAAAUGCUUCAAAAAAGAGCAAUGAUGAUGGCUUCUACACAUGUAGUGGAAAGCGUUAUGAUCCAGCAAUUUCAAAAUAGGGCCUGUAAAAGGAAAAGCCUUGGUGGUUAAACAGAAGAAGGAAAAGGCGGUCCAACUUGAAUCACCUGCCAGCGAGCCAGUAACAGAGAAUGAAGCUAGGGAGUUUCUAAAGUUCUUAAAACACAACGAAUACAGUGUCGUAGAGCACUUACAUAAGUAGCCAGCUCGUAUCUCGGUACUAGCAUUACUCUUAAGCUUUGAGGUAUAUCGCAACGCGUUAAUGAAAGUAUUAAAUGAAACUUACGUCGCUAAUGACAUCUCUGUGAAUAAGUUAGACCGUAUGUUUGGUAAUAUAAGUGCUGAUAACUUCAUUUUCUUUAACGACGAUGAAAUACCACUGGGAGGUAUGGGAUCGACCAAAGCUUUGCGCAUUACAACCCGUUGCAAAGGGUAUACGUUGCUAGGGGUAUUAAUUGAUAAUGGAUCAGACCUAAAUGUUUUACCCUUAUCCACCCUGAAUAGGUUGCCCGUGGACAGCUCGCAUAUGAAAAUGUGCCAGAACAUAGUAAGGGCGUUCGAUGGUACUAAAAGACGAGUAAUGGAAAGGAUUAAAAUACCCCUCUUAAUCGACCCAAGCACAUACGAGGUAGAUUUCCUGGUAAUGGACAUCAAGCCUUCUUACAAUUGUUUGUUAGGAAGGCCUUAGAUUCAUUCAGUAGGAGCAGUACCUUCACCGCUAUACCAAAAGUUGAAGUUGGUGAAAGAGGGUCGGCUGGUGAUAAUCAACGCAGAGGAGGACAUCAUUGCGGCUGUAACUAGUGGCGCGCCGUAAUUGUGCUAGAUGAUUUUAAUCAAGAUGACAUAAUUGUGCUAGAUUAUUUACAUUUCUUAACUUACAAUUAUUAAACUCAUAUUCAUGUUGUUAAGAAUAAAUUCACGGCAACUCGGUAAUUUGCUAACUUAUGAACAUACUUACCUACCAAAAUCAAUUUAUCUUUUGACUAUAUCUUUAUGUUCAUUCGACCGAUUAAACAAAUUUUAAUAAGAAAAUGUGUUAAUGCACAUACAUACUUAUGAAAUAAAAAUAAUCUCUUGUACAUAUCUUUAUGUCAAUUCAAACAAUUAAUUCAAUCAUAUAAACACAUAAAAGAUUACGUGAGGUAACAAUGUAUAUCUACCUGGAAAUAGUUUAAUCAUAAUAAUCUUUCAAGUUAUGCAAGGCUAAUGUAUCGUUAUAUACCGUUGCUAAUUUAACCCUGAGUUACCUUAGAUGAUUAAACAUGUACUGAUUACGUACCGUCACAAUUAAUUACAAUUUCAAUCCGUUUAAAUAAUUAAUUCAUUAGUUACCUUAAAAUUAUAAUGCAAGAAUAACUUAGCCAUUGUUUUACUUAAUCAAACAUCUUACCGAGGCCUAUAACAACACAAACACAAUUUUAAUUAAUUAAGUAGACAAAAUGCAAUCAACCUAACACGAAUUAAAUUUAAGCCAUAUUAAUUAAAUUAAACAUAUCAACAUCACAAUUAUUAAUGGACAAGUUCAUAAUAACAACAAUAAAAUUAAAAGGGAUAAGGAACAAGAAUCAAAUCUGAUGUUUCUUCAAGGCUUGAAUAGUUUUCUCCACUCUUUCUUCUCCGCUUGUUCUUGUUGAACUGAGGUUUCCACGAACACUUGAAUGUUGCUCAAAAUGGUGGUUGAAUGAAUAUCUUUCAAGAGGUGAAAUAGAUUAAGGAAUAGGGGAAGAAAAUGAAGAACAAUGGAAAGACAAAAGUGAGAGAGAAGCGAAGAAUGGAUGGUUUUGAGAUGUGUUUGAAAUGAGCAGCAGAGGGGGUAUUUAUAGGUUGGGAUAGCUGUUAAAAUUACACUACAACAAAAUAGGCUUUUAGCGGCUUUUUUUAGGCCUAUAAAGGCACUUUUAAGUGCUGCUAAAACUAUUUGCGGCGCUUUCACAAGCGCCGUAAAAAAUGUUGCUAAAUUUUGCGGCGCUUAUGUGAAAAAACGCCGCUAUAGAACAUGACCUUUAACGUCACUUUUAUAAAAAACACCGCUAAAGAACAUGACCUUUAGCGGCGCUUUUAUCACAAACGCCGCUAAAAGUACCGUUCUUUAGCGUCGUUUAUGAAAAAACGCCACUAACUUUGGCAGAUUUGUAACAUUCAAUUUUCAUCCAUAUACAACCCUUCUUGUAGCAUGAAAUCCAACUAAAAGCAACAAAUCUAAAUGGUACUUCAGAUUCAACGAAAGAUAUAUGAUUUAAAUUGAUAACUGAAGUAUAAUUCAAAAUAUUCUUACAAUAAUGUUAAAAGUUACAAUGUUAAAAAUAUUCUUACAAUAAGAAAAUAAAUGUCUCAAAUGGAGGAUUAUGUGACUGUUGAAACAUCUUCAUCAUAUUCUGAAACUGUAGCUGGAGUGCGUCGUACUUUCUGCUCUGCUUUGCUUCCCUCGUUGCUGCCUCCACUUUAAGUUGUAGUUGGAGUUUUUCAUAUUUUCUUUGAACCUCAGAUUCUCUCGAUGCUGCCUCCGCUAACUAACCAAAAUAGCAAUCUUUCGACUAAUGCAAAGGAAAAAAACAAUUUAAUGUGUAUCUCAGGUAAACAGUAUGCAAAAUAUUCUGAAUUGGAAUACAACAAUUACAGACCUGUGCUAAAACCCAUCCAACUAACGAAUUAAUAUCACUUCUGUGAUUGCAUAUGAUAAGGGCAUGUUCCUUACCUUAAAUUUUUUUUAAAUUUUAGAUGAUAAAUACACCACUACAAAAAAAGUUUAAAAUCCAACAAUGCCAAUUCUCCAUUUAGCUUGAAUAUUGAGAAUAAGUUUCCUAGAAAAAAAAAAGAGACUGACAUACCCAUUAAGUUGAAGCUUUCAUGAUCUGCGAGCACUUCAAUCUGCAAAUAAAAUGUCUCAAAGAUCAAAAGCUCAUUUUUAGGAGAUUACUUAAGGUAUAACAUCCAUGAUACCAAUAUUUGGAUAUUAAUAGAAGUUGGCUCGCUAACAGCCCAUAAUUAACACCUCAACCAAUGUCCAGAAGCACCUAUCACUCCUUAGAGAAGACAAAAGUCACAAAACUUCACAGUAAUAGUUCAACUCAUAUUUGCAUAAUUAUCUAGACGAACUGAAACUGCCCAAUCUUUAAGCCUAUAGACAUCAAAGAUACUAGUUGAACAAAAGACAUCAACUAACUAAAGUCUAACAGUAAAUAGAAUUAUCAAUCACUGGAGGCAUGAACAUCUAAACACUGCACAAAAAUCUUAUUUUCUAACACCUUUGUCAAAGUAACAUCCUAUUUCAAGUUGAGAUGGCAAACUCUUUAGUGAUAAUUAUUGAACUUUCAGAGUCCAAGGAUGUAGCGAAAACAUUAGCUGCUUUCAUGUGUUAGUGCUUACUAAUAAGAUCAUUUUUUUAGACAAGCUUCUUACUAGUAUAGUUGGAAAUGGAAGCACAAAGCAUUUAGGCAUUUGAUCAUCACAAACUGCCAUAUCAGAAAUGGUUUUAGCAUCUAUAACAUCUCAGAAAGGAUUUCAGAAUUAGACUAUACUAGCUUCAAAAAUGCCAAAAAAUGCAAUAUCCAGUUUAUUAAAAUAACUGAUCUAAAUAACUAAAUAAAUGAGCUCAUUAGCACCUUAACGCCUGCCCACCAAUCAACCAGCCAAACCAGUUACAGCCACAACAACUCUGCCAAUACCCUAUUGAUCUUUUGGUAGCUGUCGUUACGACCACCGAAUUUUAUCCACUACUCAGCCAAUAUUAACUAGUAAUACAGAGUAAGUAAGGAAUCGUCCCACGAAGAAGCUCGUGUUAAACCUAUUUGAGAAGAAUUGAAAAUAAGAUAACGUAAACGCAUGCAAGAUAGUAAAAUGGGGGAAUUUAUGCUAAUAAUGAUCUAAAGUAACGAAUAAAUUGAUUUGUGAAUGCUGAAAAAUUGUCGAAUUAAAGAGAGAGGAUGCUCAGUUAUUGACGCCUUAAUCCACCAAGCACAAGUCCUUUGUGAUCUUAAAUUAUUUAAGUAGUCCAAUCUAGCAACAAUGCUGAAAAUUCAUUUACGAAGUGAAUUCCUAUCCCCAAAUAAAUUUAAAUUCAAUUAGAGAACAUUCGUAAUUGAAGCCCUACCUUUAAUUAUUCUUUGUUGGCUAAUUAAAAAAAAGCAUUCAAUAUUUUAAAGACUUCACCGUGUGUGAAUUAAAGAAAAUCCUCCAGCGGCUUCCAAAAUCAAAUCUGUAGUUGCGUCAAUUAGCGUCAUGUCAAUUAAUCAUCACCAGUUCUAAGUGAAAUUAAGAAAUUUGAUUACUCAAUUGCACUUAGAUGAUUAUGAGAAAAAUCCUAAAUUGAAUAGGUGAUCAAUCUAAUUAAUUUAGAAAAAUUCCUUGAAUGAUAAAACUUAGCAAUUUAAGAAUGCUAAAUUCGAAUUUAAAACAAAUUAAGUCUUCAAAUUCCUUGUGCUAGGCUUCAUAAGUGUCUAACUAAGCUUAAGUAUUCAGCCACUCAUAGCAAGUAAAGCAAAACCAAAGUCAAUUGUAAACAACAUGAGUUACAGACUGAAUUUUUGGAAAAGAAAUUCCUCAAAUCGUCGAGCUUCCUUCCUUUCGCUUAGCUGAAAUCUUUAAGCUGCUAUUCCAGCUGCCUAAUCGGCUUAUGCUGGUUCAAUUAGAGAAUUUUCCUACUCAGUUGUGAUGCCCCUUUGCUAUCUCUCUUCUGUUUUUUGACUCCCCUUUUAAAAUUGUUGCCCGCCUCUUUUUAUGGAAAAAUUAACAGCCUCCAGCAAAAUCAAAAAUAAUUCGAUCUUAUCCCCCUUUAUCCUAGCUGAACCCAUCGCAUAAAAAUAGCUCCAGCCUACUAGAGUUCUACUUUAGUUGAACUCUUCAAGGCUGAUUUUAUUUCCUUGAAUUAAUUGAGGUCAGCCACUGCUAGCAAGAAAGGAAUUUGGAGAAAAAUUAAUUCCCCUGCUGAGUUUGCCGCAUGUUCGGCCUGCUAUUCUAAUUGGACCGACUUUUCUUCCAAUGUUAAUUUAAUUCCUUCAACCAGCAUAUGAUCGUCAUUCAGCAGCUCAUUAUUGUGGAUUAAAUUCCCAAUUGAGCUCAUAUGAACAUCCAAAUGUCCCUCAACUGCACAUGACUUAAAAAUUUAACAUUAAAUUAUUGAAUUGGAGCAAAAAUACAUUAUUACGGCAUGGGAUGUUCUUGCUGUAAUUUAGACUAAUUUAAAAUUCAAUUGCUCAAAAUUUAAUUAAUAAUUUAAAUAAUUUAGUUGGAUAAAUCAAGCUCAAAAUUGAACUUAACAUCUUUCUAUAUGUGUUCUUGGACAGUGGUCGAAUAAGAACAAAGCAUACUACCUGAGAGAAGAAAAAUCGCAUUGCGAAACAUUAAAAAUGGUUACUGACAAAUAGAUGAAAAGAAAGGAAGGAAGAAGGAUUUACACAUCGGCCAAUUAAUAAAAUUGAACCAACUUUGUCUAACAAAAGGGAUUCUGGUUUCUUAAAAAAAGAACCAAUAAAAAAUGGACUUUUUUAUCUCAUUUUUAGCAUUAAAUGAUAUCGUGAGAAAAGGCAAGUGUGCAUGGUAAAAAAAUUUUAAAAAUUUUAAGAUUUCAUCAAGCUGAAACCUAAAGAUUCUGAUUGAAUUUUCUUUUUAGCAAAUUUUAUUAGCUAAGAAGUAAAGUAGAUUAAAAAAUGUUACGAGCUGAAAAGGUAGCUGAAGGAAUUCGCGAAGUUUAAUUGAAACGGGGAGUUUUUGAAACUAAUAAUACGGGGUGUUUUGGUUAUAACAAAAUAGUUCCACGCCAUUUCUUUGUUAGUUUUCUUUAAAUUACAUGUAUUGCAUUGAGAAGAAGUUAUCAAAUAAGAAGAAAAUAGUCCAAUAUUUUCUUAUCCUCUCUAUUCUUCCUCUUCUCUUUUCUGAUUUCCUUCCUUUCUUUACUCAAGAUUUAGGCUCGUAUCAAAGGUAUCAGAGCUUUCAUGGUCCCUUUUGAUGGCUGGAGAUGGUGUUUAGACGAGGUUACAGAAAGAGGUGGGCAAUAUGCAGCAGGAAAUCUCAAAAAUCUAAGAGGAAAUCGCGCAUCUGAUGGCCAAGAUGGAAUCUCGACUACAGGAGUUCAAAACGGAGUUUCGAGCUGACUUACAGUCUUUGUUGGUUCAGUAUUUCGGGCCACCACCAACUGUUUCAUCGGUAAAUGCUGCAGUUGUUAAGGGAAAGGGGGUUUUGGGAUCUCCUCUUGGGUUCUUACCCAAAACCACCGACUUACAGCAAUGACAGACGGAACCCAUUGUCACGGAUAGAGGUCGUGUGCAUGUGCGGGAUCCUUCUUAUGAAGUAGGAGUUUCUACUAAAACCAGUCAAUUGGAGUGUCCUAAGUUCAAUGGAAAUGACUUAUGGGUAUGGUGGACCAAAUUGGAACAGUAUUUUGAAGCGGAAGGCAUACUUGAAGUGAGUAAGGUCCGCAUGGUGAUGUUGAACUUAGAAGGCAGAGCGUUAGAAUGGCAUCAUUUCUAUUCUCAGAGGAAUGGAGGCUUGCAAAUGUCGUCUUGGCCGGUGUAUAUAAAGAGCCUCCAAGAUCGUUUUGAAUGUGGGCCGUUCGGGGAUCCAAUGAGGGAGCUGGUCAACUUGAAACAGCAAGGCUCCAUUUUAGUUUAAAAUCCAACAAUGUUGGUGUUGUUGCUAAUACCUUGCACUAUGGCGCCUUGAACAUGAGCAUUGGUGCAACAACUAUAGUUUCAAGUGGAACGGGGUGUUUGGAUACAGGGCAGUUCAUGUACCAGAAGGGCCCAACAUUUGGUGCCCCGUUGGGAAAUGGCCAAAUUGAGAAUUGGGCUAACUGUGGCCUUGCCGAUAAUAGCCAACAGACUGACACUUCUACUAAUGUUGACACUGACCAUAAAAAACAGCUUCCUAGAGUUCAACAUGGAGCUGUAAUGGUGAAUACGGUGGAUCAACCCAAGUCAAAAAGUGGUGAUCAAAAGACACUUCGCAGGCUUGCUCAGAAUCGAGAAGCUGCAAGAAAGAGUAGAUUGAGGAAAAAAGCCUAUGUUCAAUAGCUUGAGAGUAGUCGACUCAGGCUUACAGAACUAGAGCAAGAGCUUCAAAGGGCACGGCAACAGGGUAUUUUUAUCGCAUCUGGACUUUCUGUGGACCAUGGCCAUACAGUUGCGGGAAAUGCAGCUCUGGCAUUUGACAUGGAAUAUGGUCACUGGCUUGAUGAACAUCAACGACUGAAGCUUUGCAACUAUCUUAUACACAGGAUGAUCGAUUACAGAAGAUAAUUCAGAAUAUUCUGCAGCUUCCAAAUCAUGACAAAAAGUGUGCGUGGGAAGGUCGGGUUCUAUUCAGAAAAGGGAAGAUUGUGGUGGGGAAGGUUCCCAAUUGCGACGGGAGUUGUUCCUCCACUUCCACGCUAGUGCUAUCGGGGGCCAUUCAGGGGUGCAUGUUACCCGGAAACGGUUGACUCUUUCCCCGAAGACACGACAUGGGAAUCCUUCACUGCAAUUCAAGCAAAAUUUCCUCAUUUUUAGCCUUGAGGAUAAGGUUGUUAUCUGCGAAGGGAGUAUUGUUACGAGCUGAAAAGCUAGUUGAAGGAAUUCGCGAAGUUUAAUUGAAACAGGGAGUUGGAACUAAUAAUACGGGGCAUUUUGGUUAUAACAGAAUAGUUCCACGUCAUUUCUUUGUUAGUUUUCUUUAAAUUUCAUGUAUUGCAUUGAGAAGCAGUUAUCAAAUGAGAAGAAAACAGUCCAGUUUUUUCUUAUCCUCUUUAUUCUUCCUCUUCUCUUCUCCGAUUUCCUUCCUUUCUUUACUCAAGAUUUAGGCUCGUAUCAAAAAUCUAGAUUACUAGAUUACAUGCAAGCUCAAUAAUAAUCUCAGCUCAAGAAAUAUCGAAUAAAAAAGAAACAGAGAAAACCAGUUACUGUCAUCUUCUUUAAUGCAACCACAGCUAAUAUAAAAAGAAAAAAAAUAGAAAAAUCCACUUAAUCAAAUUAAAAUAUGAGGAAAAUUCCCUAAGAAGUUAGAACAAAAGAAAAUAUACCAAAUUAAAAAAAAACCUAAUAAGAACCUGAAUAAGAUUCACAGCGAGGCCGGAGAUGAAGAAAAGAAGGCCCAAUGGGACAAUAACAGCUGCCGCUGCAAUCGCCAUGGGCAGAACAGCCAAAGAAGCGAUCGAGAUUCGGAGAAAAAGGGAGGGUUAGUAGUGAAAUUUUCUUGAAGAACAGUAUUGAUGACGGAUUGAUCUGAGAAGAUAAAAAAUCCAAAGCCACGAGGUCUCCCCGUGACCUUAUCUCUCAUAACAACAGUCUGCAAGAUAAAAUAAAAGGGGAAAAAUAAAGGGAAUCGGGGUAGGGGAGAAAUGGUUCGGGAAAAAUAAAUGGGGAAAAAAGAAGAAGAGAUUUCAAGUGGGAUUUUUGGGGUGGGGGAAUCGAU